rnacentral:rRNA from 1 species
CCUACGGGAGGCAGCAGUGAGGAAUAUUGGUCAAUGGACGAGAGUCUGAACCAGCCAAGUAGCGUGAAGGAUGACUGCCCUAUGGGUUGUAAACUUCUUUUAUAUGGGAAUAAAAUGUUCCACGUGUGGGAUUUUGUAUGUACCAUAUGAAUAAGGAUCGGCUAACUCCGUGCCAGCAGCCGCGGUAAUACGGAGGAUCCGAGCGUUAUCCGGAUUUAUUGGGUUUAAAGGGAGCGUAGGUGGAUUGUUAAGUCAGUUGUGAAAGUUUGCGGCUCAACCGUAAAAUUGCAGUUGAAACUGGCAGACUUGAGUAUAGUAGAGGUGGGCGGAAUUCGUGGUGUAGCGGUGAAAUGCUUAGAUAUCACGAAGAACUCCGAUUGCGAAGGCAGCUCACUGGACUGCAACUGACACUGAGGCUCGAAAGUGUGGGUAUCAAACAGGAUUAGAUACCCUUGUAGUC